rnacentral:rRNA from 1 species
AUGGGACAUUUGUACAAUCCACAUAUGAAGAUAAGGGAAAAGGAGAAGUUUAGGUUCCAUUUAAGAAGUCCUCUCACGUCACUUUUGGGCCAAGAGAAGAUAGAGUCCAAGUCUCUCACGUUCUGGAUUCAGAUUCAGACUGCACAGACAUAUUUGAAUCAAAACGCCAACGACUUUUUCAUACGGACUCCGAAUUGGGUGAUUCAUUUUUUGUUGGAAAGUAGAUUUCGUGCUCUUUCCAACCCAAUUGGAUUCACCUUUAAAUUCGUCCGGAGCAUUGAGAUAUCAACGAAACAAUUUGACGCUACAGCAGAAUCCGAGUCAAACAACAAGUCCAAAGGUGUUGCAUCACCUCCACUUGGGCCCAUGAGCCUUGUACGACCUAGGGUUAGUUUUAGGCUGCCUUGGGACGUCCUUCCACCUCCUUGGCCGCCAUUGCUUGCUCCUAUAUAA